rnacentral:rRNA from 1 species
AUGGGAGAGAAAAGCUUAGUAAAAGGUGGUGAGAGGCGUCUGACACGGUCGUCGAGUGGCAUCAUUGGGGGUCUUUGUAGGUUAAAUUAUCCUGGACUGGUCACUUUGCCGAACAAUAUCAUUGAGCCAGCUUGGUCAUGGGAUCACUACAAACUUGCACCGGAUUUCCUGGAUAUGCGUCAGAGGGUUUAUGAUAACAGAGCCAUGCGAGUGGUCAACGAUUUCUGGGAUUUCUAUACAUGCGUUGAGGGUCGGAAGGAUCGUGCAAAUGUGGUGGUUGAGAAUAUUGCUAAGAAACUAGUCCACGACAUGCACUAUGAGGAGUGCGUCCGGUUAGUGGUCAAGUAUCACGCGGACUAUCUCAACCAUAGGAUUUCCAAACGGGAGGCUCGAGGGAUGCAUCUUUCACGGGACAAUUACUUCAAGCCGUGCUGGGAGAAGAUCGUCGAACGGUGGACAGAUCCAGGGUGGCAGGAUGAACACAAAGUAAUAUCUGAACGGCGUAAGUUGAUGGGGGGUCGAGGACACCGUCAAGGCAACCUCACCAUCCCAGAGACACUGGCAAGGAUAUCACUUACUUCGAGGCAUGGACCAUCAAAUGUACCAAAGACGACAAGGACAAGGACCCUCUCCACCUGGAGAGGGACUGGAUCAGCUCUAAAGCCCGGUCAGAUGGAGAGAACUACACCAAAAAAUUGA